GCGGCGUGCGCCAGGGCGAUGGCCCGGGCCUGCCGCGCCCGGCGGAACGGGCACCUGCGGUGCCACACCGCCCGCGUCGUG
rnacentral:tRNA from 1 species